rnacentral:rRNA from 1 species
CGAUUCUGGCUCAGAACGAACGCUGGCGGCAGGCCUAAAACAUGCAAGUUGAACGGCUGUAGCAAUACAGCAGUAGCGCACGGGUGAGUAAUAUAUGGGAACAUGUCUUUUGGUGGGGAAUAUUCUCUGGAAACGGAGAGCAAUACCGCAUAAGCCCUACGGGGGAAAGAUUUAUCGCCGAUAGAGUGGCCCAUAUUGGAUUAGCCAGUUGGUUGGGUAACGGCUGACCAAGGCGACGAUCCAUAGCUGAUCUGAGAGGAUGAUCAGCCACACGUGGACUGAGACACGGCCCAGACUCCUACGGGAGGCAGCAGUUAGGAAUAUUGGACAAUGGGGCAACCCUGAUCCCAGCCAUGCCGCGUGAGUGUUAAGGCCUUCGGGUUGUAAAGCUCUUUUGUAUGGGAAAAUGAUGAUGGUACCAUAAGAAUAAGCACCGGCUAACUUCGUGCCAGCCGCUGC